rnacentral:rRNA from 1 species
UACAGAGGUCUCAAGCGUUGUUCGGAUUUAUUGGGCGUAAAGGGUGUGUAGGUGGCGCCGUAAGUCGGGUGUGAAAUUUCGGAGCUUAACUCCGAACCUGCAUUCGAUACUGCGGUGCUUGAGGACUGGAGAGGAGACUGGAAUUCAUGGUGUAGCAGUGAAAUGCGUAGAGAUCAUGAGGAAGACCAGUGGCGAAGGCGGGUCUCUGGACAGUUCCUGACACUGAGACACGAAGGCCAGGGGAGCAAACGGG